rnacentral:rRNA from 1 species
GACGUAGGAGGCGAGCGUUGUCCGGAUUCAUUGGGCGUAAAGAGCGCGCAGGCGGCUUGGUAAGUCGGAUGUGAAAACCCGAGGCUCAACCUCGGGCGUGCAUCCGAAACUGCUCGGCUAGAGGUAGGUAGGGGAGAUCGGAAUUCCUGGUGUAGCGGUGAAAUGCGCAGAUAUCAGGAGGAACACCGGUGGCGAAGGCGGAUCUCGUGGGCCU